rnacentral:sRNA from 1 species
CUCCCUAUCGCGCCGAGCUCCAUCCAAUAGGCAGGGGCCCAUCGACCUACAUGGAUGGAGACGGGGGACCCACCGGUCCACCGUGAUCGGACUGGGGCCGCUUGCGGCCCCUUGGGGUGAAGCCGAGUCGUUUCGCAGUGGAGACGACGACGGCCGGGUGGCCUCUCCAACCCGAACCCGACAGCUGACCUCGCAGGCGCGUGACGAGAGAGGAA